GGAGCGCCAGCCAGGUGAGCCGGCCCGUGCACUUGCUAGUGAGUCCCCGCCUCUAACCUAAGGCAGCGCUCUGGGAAGUGAUCUUGGUGCUCCAGGAGGCAAAGUUCCCGUAACAGGAUGAAACCGUAAGGAAUGCGUUGAAAGAUGCCAUUGUUCUCGUUGGAAAAAAUCUGGGUGGUCACAUGUCUAAGGAUCUUGGGCGGUGAAGAGACACCUUUCUUCAGGAAACCAGUUGUAGAAGUGAUUGCCAUCAGUGAUUCAACUCUGGGGUCAUGCAUUCACUUGGAAUGAAUGAGAAGAAAAAGGUGCCUCUUCUGGACACGGGACGAGUGCCUUGCAUACCUCACGGUCCCCUAGAGGGCGGCCCAGUCCCACAGGCCAUCUGGAGUUGUUUUUCUCUGCAUGGCCAGGCACCUAAACUCCGUUCAAUGGGAUGUGUGCAGUUUCAGAAUUAUACCUUCAAAAAGAAGGAAGCAUGCGAACCUGUCCCCCCUCCCCUCUUCCUGCUAGCUGUAAUGCCGAUGUAAUGGUAUGG